rnacentral:rRNA from 1 species
CCAAUAGCGUAUAUUAAAGUUGUUGCAGUUAAAAAGCUCGUAGUUGAAUUUCGGGAUCAGUGCGCUGGUCGUGCCUCUGGUAUGUACUGGUGUUUCUGGUUCCUCCCUUCUGACGAACUUUCAUGCCAUUAAUUUGGUGUGUUGGGGAAUCAGGACUGUUACUUUGAAAAAAUUAGAGUGUUUAAAGCAGGCUCGCGCUUGAAUACAUUAGCAUGGAAUAAUGAAAUAGGACGUUCGAUCCUAUUUUGUUGGUUUCUAGGAUUGACGUAAUGAUUAAUAGGGAUAGUUGGGGGCAUUAGUAUUCAAUUGUCAGAGGUGAAAUUCUUGGAUUUAUUGAAGACUAACUACUGCGAAAGCAUUUGCCAAGGAUGUUUUCAUUAAUCAAGAACGAAAGUUAGGGGAUCGAAGACGAUCAGAUACCGUCGUAGUCUUAACCAUAAACUAUGCCGACUAGGGAUCGGAUGAUGUUAAUUUUUUAAUGACUCAUUCGGCGCCUUACG